rnacentral:tRNA from 1 species
GUCUGGCUGGCUCAGUCAGUAGAGCAUAUGACUCUAGAUUUCGAGUCAUGAGUUCAAGUCCCAUGUUGGGUG